rnacentral:rRNA from 1 species
AUGUCGAUCGUGCGGCGGAGCAACGUGUUCGACCCCUUCGCCGACCUCUGGGCGGACCCCUUCGACACCUUCCGCUCCAUCGUCCCGGCGAUCUCUGGCGGCAGCAGCGAGACGGCCGCGUUCGCCAACGCCCGGAUGGACUGGAAGGAGACCCCCGAGGCGCACGUCUUCAAGGCCGACCUCCCCGGCGUGAAGAAGGAGGAGGUCAAGGUGGAGGUGGAGGACGGCAACGUGCUCGUCGUCAGCGGCGAGCGCACAAAGGAGAAGGAGGACAAGAACGACAAGUGGCACCGCGUGGAGCGCAGCAGCGGCAAGUUUGUCAGGCGGUUCCGGCUGCCGGAGGACGCCAAGGUGGAGGAGGUGAAGGCCGGGCUGGAGAACGGCGUGCUCACCGUCACCGUGCCCAAGGCCGAGGUCAAGAAGCCCGAGGUCAAGGCCAUCGAGAUAUCCGGCUGA